GACGAACGCUGGCGGCGUGCUUAACACAUGCAAGUCGAACGGAAAGGCCCUGCUUUUGUGGGGUGCUCGAGUGGCGAACGGGUGAGUAACACGUGAGUAACCUGCCCUUGACUUUGGGAUAACUUCAGGAAACUGGGGCUAAUACCGGAUAGGAGCUCCUGCUGCAUGGUGGGGGUUGGAAAGUUUCGGCGGUUGGGGAUGGACUCGCGGCUUAUCAGCUUGUUGGUGGGGUAGUGGCUUACCAAGGCUUUGACGGGUAGCCGGCCUGAGAGGGUGGCCGGCCACAUUGGGACUGAGAUACGGCCCAGACUCCUACGGGAGGCAGCAGUGGGGAAUAUUGCACAAUGGGCGGAAGCCUGAUGCAGCAACGCCGCGUGCGGGAUGACGGCCUUCGGGUUGUAAACCGCUUUCGCCUGUGACGAAGCGUAAGUGACGGUAAUGGGUAAAGAAGCACCGGCUAACUACGUG
rnacentral:rRNA from 1 species